ACUAUAAAGGACGUGGCGUGGAGAUGCUCGGCCUCUCGGCAGCCAUGGCGGCUCUAUGUUUGUAUCGCCAUUGUUACCGUUGGGACGCCGCGGAUGACCCUAUAUACCCUUGGCCGGCUACCGGGAAGACUGCGUCUCCUGACGAUCGUAACGAAGAUGUACCGUGCUUUCCUUCUGAGAGUUUAGUCGCCCUAAUAUGUGCAGCAGGCUAACCGCGUGGAAGCUUGCCUGCCAGAAAGAAAGCGCCUGUUGGGCUAUUAGGUGAGUUGGGCUAUUAGGUGAGUUGGGCUAUUAGGUGAGUUGACUCAAAGUUACUAAGAUUCGCAUUAACAGUCACGGUGUGGCACCCAGCACUUGCUUCAUCGACACCCUGCUCCUAGAGGCGUUGCAGGUGUGGCUGCUGUGUCACAUGUGCGUCAGUAGGUGGCAGAGAGAAAAGAGGCUAUGUCUACGCUCAGUGUUCUGCCCUGUGAACGUCUGAAUGAUUUGUAGCCUGACAACACUCCUGAAAGCUGGAGGUGGGAUUGUCCCUCCUAGUUUUUGACUGGCUUAGGUCAUUUGAUGGCUCUGCAUAAACCAAAUAGAGGGGCUGGUGUGUAAAGAGGAAGUUUACAGAGAAAUUGAUCUGUUGGAAAUCAUGAAACCAGGUCCUGGGACACAGCGUUGUGGCACAUGUUUCUCUUAUCCACCAGCUUGGGUCAAGAGACUGUCUCAAAAACAACAGUGGGUGGAAGCAAGGAUGUAUCUGUCUUAGUCAGGGGUUUUAUUGCUAUGAAACACCAUUACCAAAGAGCAAGUUGGGGAGGAAAGGGGUUAUUCCGCACACACUUACACUGCUGCUUGUUGCCAAAGGAAGUCAAGGCGGAGACCAUGAAAGGGUGCUGAGUGCUCCGCCUGUACCUGCAUGCCAUAGGAGGCCAUCAGAGCCUGUUCUAGAUGGUGGGGAGCUGGGAAUUGAACUCAGCCGUCAGUGCUCUUAACCACCGAGCCAGACUCCAACCCCAACCAAGAGGUUGGGUUUCUCUAUGGCCUGGGAUUAAAGGUGUGUUCCACCACCAGCCCAGAGAUGGCACCAUUCACAAUGGGCUAGGCCUUCCCCACUGUUCACUAAUUGAGAAAAUGCCUAACAGUUGGAUCUCAUGGGGGCAUUUCCUAAUGACUAACUUGUAUCAAGUUGGCACAAAACCAGCCAUUACAACCUCAAAGCCUCUCUUUGGGGAGAUGAGUGGAGCUUAUUACCUAAUGCUCCAGCUACCUUGAUGUGAGAUGGCUUUUCAAACUGGGUAUCUACUGGUUGCUAGCUGGUACGGGCUGGAGUGGAGCUCAGUGGUGCUCACUUGGCUGCACACAGGCCUGAGUCUCCAUCCCUAGCACCAUGGGCAAGUGAAACUGAUAAGGGGAAAAGACGAAGUGCCUGAUGGUAGGUCCAUGCAGCACCGAGAUUUCAGAAUGAGGAAGCAUGGUGGAGCAUACAGCUAACAGUGACAGGGGGUGUCAUAAAGCAUAAGGGUAAAGGGACUACUGCUUCGGGCCUCCAGAGGUCUGGGGGUGCGACACUUGUGGAAGGUCUACAUUGAUUGUUUUCUUUGGUACAGGAAAGUUGGUGACUAAAGUCUGCUUAUGCCAAAUGCCCAGCAAUGUCCAGUUGAGAUCCAGGAGCCAGGAAGAAGGGGGGCUACUUGGCCAACAUGGCUGAUCACGUGCCUGAGGUAUGCCCUCUGACCUCACCAGGGUAACACAGAACCAUCCAUACAGGCCUUGGGCAGCUGGAAAUUUACACUGGUAGCUCUCCCAUGUCCUAAGUUAGGAACUGGAUUUGGAUUGGCUUGGGUUUGACUCUUAUUUCCAAGACUGGUGAGGUAAACACUGGAUGGAGGACCCUCUAAGGCUCAACCUCUCUAUCUAAUUGUAUAUGGCCUUAAGAGAGAUAAUUGAGUUGGGUGGUGAUAACUGGUCACUUGAGUUCAAGGCCAGCCUGGUCUACAAAGCAAGUUCCAGGACAGCCAGGACUGGUACACAAAGAAACCCUGUCUUGAAAAACUAAAAAAAAAAAGGAGAGGGGAAAAAAGGCUGGAUGCUGUGACACAAAUAAACUUGUCAGUUCUUGAGGCUGGAA
rnacentral:lncRNA from 1 species